AUUGAACGCUGGCGGCAGGCCUAACACAUGCAAGUCGAGCGGUAGAGAGGUGCUUGCACCUCUUGAGAGCGGCGGACGGGUGAGUAAUGCCUAGGAAUCUGCCUGGUAGUGGGGGAUAACGCUCGGAAACGGCGCUAAUACCGCAUACGUCCUACGGGAGAAAGCAGGGGACCUUCGGGCCUUGCGCUAUCAGAUGAGCC
rnacentral:rRNA from 1 species